UGUCAACGUAAAAACUAAAUUUUGUUAUUAUAGAAUCAAUUGGAUGUUUUUUUUUUGCUUUGUCGGAGAGAUUAUAGGUGGAAAAAGAUAUUUUUGGCAUGCAAAUAAUACCAGACUAUUGCAUUUUGCCGGUCGUAUUAGUUGGUAACUGACCUUAUUCUACUUAAGAAAAAGCUACUUCUACCGAAAUUCAACUAAAAAAGAACCAUGGAGAAAACAAUUGUUUAUGCAGAGCUAGGGGUGAAAUUGGAACUGGCAUUCUUUUAUGAAGAAGCGCUAAUUAAUUUUAAUUUGGAGUCAACAGGAGAAUGAAAAUCAUAUCACCAUUUGAAAUUUGGUACAAAAUCAUCAACAAUGAGGAAAAUAGGUAUGGAUAUUUUUUAUUUUCGAAACGCUGGAAAUCAGUUUGAAUGCUGCUAUAACAUAAGAGAUAGGUCGAAAAAUGUAAAGAAGCAGUGAUUCGUUAAUUGCUAUUGCCACUAAGACUUACUUAGAGUAAUGUGCUAGCCAGAAUUUGCUGGCUAGCAGUGCUAGUGCGAUACGCUCGACGCAUGAGAGACGCGUGUCUAUGUGAAAGAAGCAUUCUAUAUGAAGCACUAUGUACGCUCGUAUUUCAAUUUAUUUUAUCCGCUGUACUUCUGUUAUGUUCAUGAUUUUUUUUAAAUGAUUUUACUUUCAAUUCCAAGAUUUAUUUUUAUUGCUGUUUUCAUU